rnacentral:rRNA from 1 species
UACGUAGGGUCCGAGCGUUGUCCGGAAUUAUUGGGCGUAAAGGGCUCGUAGGCGGUUUGUCGCGUCGGGGAGUGAAAACUCAGGGCUCAACCCUGAGCGUGCUUCCGAUACGGGCAGACUAGAGGUAUGCAGGGGAGAACGGAAUUCCUGGUGUAGCGGUGGAAUGCGCAGAUAUCAGGAGGAACACCGGUGGCGAAGGCGGUUCUCUGGGCCUUACCUGACGCUGAGGAGCGAAAGCGUGGGUAGCAAACAGG